rnacentral:tRNA from 1 species
AGAGAGUAAUCAUAUGUAAUUUUGAUGUUAGUUUCGACCUAAUAUGAGCUAGAUAUAGCACUCUCUC